rnacentral:rRNA from 1 species
GGCCUUCGGGUUGUAUAGUACUGUUUUCAGGGACUAACGGUAGAGGUGUAAAUAAUGCCUUUACAUGACGGUACCUGAGGAGGAAGCCCCGGCUAACUACGUGCCAGCAGCCGCGGUAAUACGUAGGGGGCAAGCGUUGUCCGGAAUCAUUGGGCGUAAAGGGCGCGUAGGCGGAUAUUUAAGUCUGGUGUGAAAUUUAGGGGCUCAACCCCUAGACUGCAUCGGAAACUGGAUAUCUUGAGGACAGGAGAGGAAAGUGGAAUUCCACGUGUAGCGGUGAAAUGCGUAGAGAUGUGGAGGAACACCAGUGGCGAAGGCGACUUUCUGGACUGUAACUGACGCUGAGGCGCGAAAGCGUGGGGAGCAAACAGGAUUAGAUACCCUGGUAGUCCACGCCGUAAACGAUGAGUGCUAGGUGUAGAGGGUAUCGACCCCUUCUGUGCCGCAGUUAACACAAUAAGCACUCCGCCUGGGGAGUACGGCCGCAAGGUUGAAACUCAAAGAAAUUGACGG